GGUUUUUGACCGCUCCAGUGGCCUAGUGGUUAAAGCAUGCUCCUCCAAUGCGGGAGGUCGUGGGUUCGAAUCCCGGUCGAACCA